rnacentral:rRNA from 1 species
UAACGCGUAGGUAACCUGCCCCAUACAGAGGGAUAGCCACUGGAAACGGUGAUUAAUACCUCAUAAAACUGAGAAUACACAUGUAUGCUCAGCCAAAGAUUUAUCGGUAUGGGAUGGACCUGCGUCUGAUUAGUUAGUUGGUGAGGUAACGGCUCACCAAGGCGACGAUCAGUAGCCGACCUGAGAGGGUGAUCGGCCACAUUGGAACUGAGACACGGUCCAAGCUCCUACGGAAGGCAGCAG